rnacentral:tRNA from 2 species
GGUUCCAUAGUAUAGUGGUCAGUACUGGGGACUUUAAAUCCCUUGAUCUUAGUUCGAAUGGGACCU